rnacentral:ncRNA from 1 species
GAAGUUAGAUCAUCAUGGAAAACUUAGAAGCAUUGGACGGCCCUUUGUACACACCGUCCAUCGGUACUACUGAUUGAAUGGUUUACUGAAGUCGUUGGAUUUGUGUCGUUGUAGUGACUUUGCCGCUCGACUAAUGUUGAGAAGAUGACCUAAUUUGACUAUUUAGAAGAAAUAAAAGUCGUAACAACGUUUUCGUAGGUGAACCUGAGGAAG